rnacentral:rRNA from 1 species
UACGGGGGGGGCAAGCGUUGUUCGGAAUUACUGGGCGUAAAGAGCUCGUAGGCGGCCUGUCGCGUCGGUUGUGAAAGCCCGGGGCUUAACCCCGGGUCUGCAGUCGAUACGGGCAUCACUGGAGUUCGGCAGGGGAGACUGGAAUUCCUGGUGUAGCGGUGAAAUGCGCAGAUAUCAGGAGGAACACCGGUGGCGAAGGCGGGUCUCUGGGCCGAUACUGACGCUGAGGAGCGAAAGCGUGGGGAGCGAACAGG